rfam:Gammaproteobacteria bacterium RBG_16_66_13 RBG_16_scaffold_32650, whole genome shotgun sequence.
UGGGGAAGCCGGUGACCGCCCGUUGGUGGAAGUCCGGCACUGUCCCGCAACUGUAAGGGCAGCUAUCAGCCGUCAGCCAUCAGCCGUCAGCUAGCGCUUUAGCUGACCGCUGAGAGCUGACACUUGCACCCCGUUCGGGCCGGGAGACCC